rnacentral:rRNA from 1 species
AUUGAACGCUGGCGGCAGGCUUAACACAUGCAAGUCGAACGAGUGGCGGACGGGUGAGUAAUGCUUGGGAAUCUACCUUAUGGAGGGGGAUAACUACGGGAAACUGUAGCUAAUACCGCGUACCAUAGGAUGAGCCCAGGUGGGAUUAGGUAGUUGGUGAGGUAAAGGCUCACCAAGCCGACGAUCUCUAGCUGGUCUGAGAGGUUGACGAGGCACACUGGAACUGAGACACGGCCCAGACUCCUAGGGGAGGCAGCAGUGGGGAAGAUUGCGCAAUGGGGGCAAGCUGAGGCAGCCAUGCCGCGUGAAUGAAGAAGGCCUUCGGGUUGUAAAGUUCUUUCGGUAGCGAGGCGUUAACUACAGAAGAAGCACCGGCUAACUCCGUGCCAGCAGCCGCGGUAAUAC